CCGGCGACGUGUAUUUAAAUGAGGGGCGGAGCCGCGGGCCGGCGUGGCUCCUCCCCCAGCGAGCCGUAGCGCCCCGGGCGCAGAGAGAGCCGAGGAGGGCCCACGCCCUGGACCUGGCUGGCGGGAAAGUGGUUCUCCUUCCCGGAGGAGCUGCUGGAGCUGCCCUGAAAACCCUGAGUAGGGGCACCAUGCUCUAAUUCUCUUGAUCGUCAUGGAGAAGAAAAAAAAAAGAAAUGAAUUUAGGCUGCCCCCAACCAAGAUGGCCGGUGGAUAUUUCUCCGGUUCAGAGACUUGGGAGGAAGAGGGACUAAAAAAAAAAAAAAAAAAAAAAAAAAACUUUUGUGUGUUUGGAGAUGAACUUCAAAACCAGAUGUAUUGCGAGAUCUGAGCGCCUCCCUUUGUGUCUGACCUUGCUUACCUUAGAGAACCAGACGGCAGUUGAGUGAAGGUUAAGCGCACACAUUUCCAGCUUUUCCAGUUAACUACAGAGCCUGUUUGUACCAACAGAACCCUGAUUUGAAACAGAAGACAAUCUGAAGCAAGUGGCUAGAACUGUGCUGAGCAGGUGGAACCCAAGGGCCUACACCUGCUCACUAAUACCCCUGUCAAAGGAUUGGCAAAUAAUUUUAAGAAAUAAAAUAAAUAAUUCCCA